rnacentral:lncRNA from 1 species
AAGAGCGAGGGAGAGAGCAAGACGCGACCAGAGAGCCACCGGGGCCCGCUCGCGCGCCUCUGAGAGGCUGUCCGCGCGCGCGCGUGUGUGCGUGAGUGUGGAUUUGCCGGGACUGGAGCUGGAAAGUUCAAACUAAACGUGUUGCUCUCGCCGAGUGCCGAGGCCGCGGCGGAGGCUGCCCAACUUCCCCGGGCCAAGUGAGUGGCGUUGCCCAGCGCCUUUGGCGAGGCGGCGGCCGCUCGGCCCUGCGCCCGGCCGCGGCGGCGGCGGCUCCGCUCGCCCCGGGAGGGAGCCCGCGGCCAGGGCUGGACUCUCGCCCCGCCACCUCCACCGACUCUCUCCUCAGCCUCCGCGCCUGGCACCGCAGCAAGACUUGAAUGAAGUGAUCAUGUAAACUAGAGAAAGGAGAUUAAAAAUAACCUCUGGAUAUUCCUCUCAUGUGAUCUUUAUUCUGGAUGAAGCAUUAGGACAGCUAAUAGCCGUGUGUCACUUAGAGACAGGGUUUCACCGUGUUAGCCAGGAUGGUCUCGAUCUCCUGACCUCGUGAUCCACCCCCCUCGGCCUCCCAAAGUGCUGGGAUUACAGGCGUGAGCCACAGCCCCUGGCCUCAACUGCUGUUUCUUUCAAAGAUGCAUACAAUUGAUUUAAUUCAGAUCUUGUUUUUAAUAUGUAUUCACCAUUGGACAAUGCAUGGUUUCUUUAAAUUUAAUUCAGUUGGAACCUGACGGAUGACUUCGGCCUGCUGGCAUGCUCUUUUCGUUUUACCGUUCCGUGCGUGCUCCAUUCCCCAUAGCCAUCAUCUUGAUUUUGUGUUUAUCAAUCCAUUGCUUUUUUAUAAUUUUCCUGGAUAUACAUAUUUAUCUAAAAAAUAUAACGUUUACAUUUGCUUAUUUUGAAAUUUAUUAGAAAAUAUUAUUCUGCAUGUAAACUUUAGAGUCAUUUUUUUGCCCAAUAUUUCGUUCCUCAUAUUUAAUCAUAUUAUUACAGAUAGCUGUAAUUGUUAUUGUUUAACACUUCGCUGUGGGAAAAUGAAACAGUCUAUCUAUUCUCCUGUCCAUGGCGUAUGAUUCCUUCUUGAUAUUAUGAUCAGUGCUGGUUUGAAUAUUUUUAUGUCUUCUAGUGUGUAUGUAAUCAACUAUAUAAUCCUGGAAAAUAAUAAAAUGUUUUAAACUGGUCAUUUUUCUCAUACAUCAACUUCAUUUUGGCUUUGCUCAGAAUGAAUUUCUUAGAAAAAAUAGUUAUAAUUAUUAAGAAAACAUUAGAAAAUAUGCUGAUAUUUUUUCUAAAUUAGAUUCUUUUUUUUUUUGUAUAUGAAGAUAUUUCCCUUGAGUUUUUGUCACUUAUCAUCUGUUUUAUUCCCUUGCUUUAUUACUGUUUCAAACGAGACUUUUUUUUUUUGGUUUUGAUUUUGUAUUAGGAAAUCUUACUAAGUUCAUUAGAAUUUAAUCACUUUUUAGAUAUUUUCAGAAGCAUUAACAAGAUAUCAUUGCAUUUUUCAUGGCUUAUUUGACAAUCAUCUAAGUUAACAAGGUCAUUUGAUGAUUAUUAAGACAUUUAUAUGUAGGAGGUAUUCCUCUUUACAUCUUUGUAGAAUUAAGAACCUUAUUGUCUUUCUUUCUUUUUUUUUUUAACAUAGCACUUAACUAAAGUUAAGUAGUAUAAUGCCUAAGAACUAGCAAUCUGAUAUCAACUCUCUAAUGGAAUGAUGCAGGAAAUAAUUUAAAAUUAAAUAUGAGGAGCAAAAGAGAAAAGGAGCAAUUUAAAAUAAAGAAUUAAGACAAGCAUAUUCAUCAAUUAUCACUUGGGCACAGUGGAGGAACUGGCCUGAGGGCUAUUCAAUUUAAAACGUUCCAUAGGUACUAUUGGAUCCCUAAAGCAAAGUAUAAUGAGUUGGUGUCCCAAUUAAAGUAUUGGAAAUGUCAGCAAGCUGAAAGGGAUGGCUUCAUAUGGUUUGAGAGACAAGUAUGUUGGUAAGGCAGUUCUGGCAUGAAUUACUUGGAAAUAUUUCAAGAAUAAUCAGACUGUUUUUCUUAAUUUUUAACUUUUGCUUUCUCUUUAUUUCCCUAAAGGGAUUUAUUUGUCCAGUGCCAAAAAGCACUUAUUAUGAAUUGACAGUGGACCAGAUCAUGGUGAAAUUGUACAGAAACUUAAAUAUCUGAAAUCCCAAAGGUAGAUCUGGCUAGUGAGCCCUUGGGCGAUUUAAACAAUGAUUGUACUUUCAAGAGAGAGGAAAUCAGCAUUAUUUCAUGUCUUGAAAAUGUCUUCUUUCCGAAACAAUGUAACUUAAUGAAUUUGAACAUUUUCUAUAUUUGAACUUGCAUAUAGGACUUCUAUAAUCAAAUGAAAAAGUCACCAGUUUCCUAAUUGUACCUUUAUGAAAAAACUAAAGCAACUAAAAUUAAAAUAAUCAUUCUAAUUUAAGUCAUUUAUAAUAAAUUUAACUCAUACUUCACAAAAUUUCAUUUAUAUAUAUAAAUUUUUAGAAAGCAUGACCCCUAAUUAAUCACAAGGACAUAUCCCAGCCGAUUACUUGGGGACUCUAUCACCUUGGAGAAUUUACUUGCCUGUGCCUCAGUUGUCUUUCCUUAUGCAUGGGUAAUACCUGUACUCACUUCAAGGAAGUUUUAUGAGAUUUAAUAUGUUAAAAUAUUUCAAGACUUUAGAACACUAUCUGGCACAUAAAGACACAGGAGUUAUAUCUCAUCAUAAGCAUAAAUUUGUGAUUUUGAUAAUAGUCAUGUAUUAGAGCUUUUAUCAUUUAAAAUCUUUUAUGAUUCAUUUUUAAUUUAAAGCAGCAAAUAUUGAACAGAAAUAAUUAACCAGGAGGGAAAAACCAACUAACAUAAAAAAUACUCUGUCAUGUUUCACAGUAAAUUGACAGUAGAGACAUUCUCUUCAAGUAAGAUAAAGGGAAACAACCUUUGCUCUCACAACUUUUAUUGUAUUUCUUUCUGAAGGGAGCAAAUAAAAUAGAGCAAGAAAACUGCACUAAAAUUUGAAGCAAUUAGAAAAGAGAUUAAAUCAUCAUUUUGGCAGCUAAUAUCAUUAGUGACUUAAGAACUCAAAAUCGAAAAAUUAAGGAAAUUAAUAAUACAUAAUAUUAGUGCUGAUACAAAAUAUAUAUAAAAUUACAUAUUUUUAUGUAUAUUCUUUUCUUAAAUGACAUAAUAUUUAAAAAGCUUAAAGCUAAAUAAUUUACAUAAAUCACCUUGAAGUAACUCAAGAAACAAAUUUCUCUAUACAUCCAUUCAUCCAUCUAACUAUGUGAUUUUGUUGUUCUCCAUGUAAAAAAUAAAUAAAUAGAAGAUAAUCUGAAUAAGUUAAAAGCAUGACAACAUUUCAGAUGAGAAAAUUAUAUAUUUUAAAAGAUGUCAACACUAAAGGGUGUUUGCAUAUGUAUGUGUAUGUUUGUAUAUGUAAAUAAAGAAUCUAAAAUAUUUCCUGGGAUUUGGGGGAACCGCAGAUAGUGAUCUUGCAAACAGCAAUUGCAAAAAUAAAUGUGUGUGACCUAUACUGAC